UUGUGGAGUCUAAGCCUAAGAGAUAGGUUAGGCUGCUCUGCCUGGCUAGGCUUCUACAGUGCUGAUAGAAGGCCACCUCUUGCUGUUCCUGGAAGACUGUGAUGGGCCCCUGCAGACCCCCUAGAGCAACUCUAAUCGAAAGCCCUCCAUCUAGGCCAUAGGAGGUGGAUUUCUAAGCAAGAACCAGUGGCGUUCCUUGGCGUGGCAAACCCAUUCCUGAAGCCAAACUUCCUCCUUGGGACAUCUCAGCAUUCACAAGAUGAUCAGCCCAGGGGCCUGGUGUCUGUUUGGAAGAGAUGCUCCAUUCCCUGGAGUCUGUCAGAGCUGAGGAAGUGGUGGAACAUGGACAGAUGGACAGACAAACGGAUGGACAGAUAGACAGACAGAUGGGCAGGCUGGGGGAGAGACAGACAUAUCCAUCUGGCAAUCUUCCACUUUGA
rnacentral:lncRNA from 1 species